CUGGGCCCCCCUUUACUUAUGUUCCAUAAGUAAUACUAAGUGCCUAUGUUAUUCAAUGUAAUGUACAUAUAUUGUUAUAUGCCUUUAAAUAAUGUUGCUAAGUGUUGUAACCAAGGAAGGUACCAGUGACCAUGUGACCUACAGGCUGACCUAUGGGACCCCUCCAGAGUCUCCCCCAUAUAAACCCUGGGAGGAGCUAGCUAGUCAGUUCUGCGCACGCUGAGGAACAGUCAGGUCCGGAGAGAGUGUCUGGUGUCCUGAGGAGGCCCAAAGUCUACCACGCAGCCACAAGUCUACUGCCCCACAGGUGAACGUCAAAACCUGAGGAUGAGGAGCGGCUGGCAAAGUGGGGAACCAAUGAUGUCCAGGUGCCAAACUUUACAGAGGAAGAUGGAGCUGGAAGAAGACCUGGCGUCUGGACCAGAUGAAGAAGAAAAGGAAAGACAACAGAGAAGACGUCUCCUAAAGGACUUCACCAUCAACAUCUGAACAGACUCCACUUGACUGCCUGGAGACAGAGAUUCUGAGUGGAGGAGAAAUUGCUGAAGAGGUCAUUGGUAAUCCUUAGGACAGAGGAUACAUUUUUCUAUCCCGGGGUACUCCUUUAAGUAAAGCAAUAAAAAUCUACUCAUCCAGGAUUGAAUCUCAAGAGUUUGUUUCUGCAGAUUCAGGAGCAAAGAACUUCUGGUAUCCGGACAGCAUUGAAGGAACCAACACUUUAUUGCCUGGAGACUACGUGUAUGUAAAGAAACAUACCAGGAAGUCCCUUGAGCCCCGAUUUUGAAGGACCGUAUCAAGUUCUCUUGACUACAGCCACAUCAGUCAAACUGCAAGGAAAAGCCAACUGGAUUCAUGCGUCACACUGCAAGAAGGCGGUAUCUGACCAUGACAAUACUUUGGUUUCUGUUUAACUGUCUAAUAUGUUACAUCACAACCUUACAUGAUGAGCUAGAAAAGCAUCCAGAUAAAUUCUUGAAACACCACUUAAUGUUGGCACAAAAUCUCACAGUGAAAGAUUGUUGGAUAUGCACACAUGCUCCUACAUCUGCCCAGAGUAUGCCUUAUUUGGCUAUCCCUGUACCACCACAUGAGAUGUUCAAGGGGAAUUGCUUGGACACAUUAGCAAGCAACAAGACACGGUACACAAAAAAUUGGAACACUUCAGUGGGGAUUCCAAUUGUGGGGUGGAUUGGGCAACCCUGGUGGCAGGGAAACUUGAGCAGUUUUGGACAAGGACCACAGCAGAUACUGACCUUUAAGGGAGGCUCCUGGGUAGCACGUGAAGUCACACAAAUACUAG